rnacentral:tRNA from 1 species
GGCGUAAAUUGGCAACCAACGCUAUUUUACGUCGUUCUUCUCUCUCUUUUCCGCCUCCGGAGCCGGUGGUCCCGGGUUCAAAUCCCGGCGGGUCCG